rnacentral:rRNA from 1 species
UACGUAGGUGGCAAACGUUGUCCGGAAUUAUUGGGCGUAAAGCGCGCGCAGGCGGCCUUUUAAGUCUGAUGUGAAAGCCCACGGCUCAACCGUGGAAGGUCAUUGGAAACUGAAAGGCUUGAGUACAGAAGAGGAAAGCGGAAUUCCACGUGUAGCGGUGAAAUGCGUAGAGAUGUGGAGGAACACCAGUGGCGAAGGCGGCUUUCUGGUCUGUAACUGACGCUGAGGCGCGAAAGCGUGGGGAGCAAACAGG